GCACAAGCGGUGGAUGAUGUGAUUUAAUUCGAUGCAACGCGAAAACCUUACCACCUUUGACAUGUACGGAAGCCUUUAGAGAUAGAGGCGUGCUCGAAAGAGAGCCGUAACACAGGUGCUGCAUGGCUGUCGUCAGCUCGUGUCGUGAGAUGUUGGGUUAAGUCCCGCAACGAGCGCAACCCUUGUCAUUAGUUGCUACAUUCAGUUGGGCACUCUAAUGAGACUGCCGGUGACAAGCCGGAGGAAGGUGGGGAUGACGUCAAGUCCUCAUGGCCCUUAUAGGUGGGGCUACACACGUCAUACAAUGGCUGGUACAAAGGGUUGCCAACCCGCGAGGGGGAGCUAAUCCCAUAAAGCCAGUCGUAGUCCGGAUCGUAGUCUGCAACUCGACUACGUGAAGUCGGAAUCGCUAGUAAUCGUGGAUCAGAAUGUCACGGUGAAUACGUUCCCGGGUCUU
rnacentral:rRNA from 1 species